UGACCCCUGCUGUGUGCGUGAUAGGCGCUGCUAUUUGGAAGAACCGAUGAGAUCCCCACGGGAGGCCAUGGUCGGUAUCGGAUCGAAUAUGCCCGUUCGUCGGGACAUUCGGACGACCGCAACGGCUGCCCACGUUGAAAUACGGGGUUACUUUCAUAAGGCUCCUCACGGCAUGUGCGGAGGUCGU
rnacentral:other from 1 species